rnacentral:rRNA from 1 species
GAUGAACGCUGGCGGCGUGCUUAACACAUGCAAGUCGAACGGGAAACAUUUUAUUGAAGCUUCGGCAGAUUUAGCUUGUUUCUAGUGGCGGACGGGUGAGUAACGCGUGGGUAACCUGCCUUAUACUGGGGGAUAACAGCCAGAAAUGACUGCUAAUACCGCAUAAGCGCACAGAACCGCAUGGUUCAGUGUGAAAAACUCCGGUGGUAUAAGAUGGACCCGCGUUGGAUUAGCUAGUUGGCAGGGCAGCGGCCUACCAAGGCGACGAUCCAUAGCCGGCCUGAGAGGGUGAACGGCCACAUUGGGACUGAGACACGGCCCAGACUCCUACGGGAGGCAGCAGUGGGGAAUAUUGCACAAUGGGGGAAACCCUGAUGCAGCGACGCCGCGUGAAGGAAGAAGUAUCUCGGUAUGUAAACUUCUAUCAGCAGGGAAGAUAAUGACGGUACCUGACUAAGAAGCCCCGGCUAACUA